CACUUACAACUUGCUCCACCAUUUCAUUUUUUUAAAGAAAUACUCCACCAUGACACCAUUUCAAAUACUUUCAGUAGAGUGGCACCAAUUGCAAAAGACGGAAAUCAGGGAAUAUUAUUUUCCAUUCUUCUCUCAUUUAGUCAUUUUUCGGCAGAAGAGAGAAAGCAGAGAAAGGCAUUGAGUUCAUAAGUUCAUUAAAUCAUUAAUCAUUAGCAUUCAGUAGUUCAUCAGCAGCAGAAGGGAUUGAACUAUUGAAGACACAUAUUUGAUUGACUGAUUCGGAUUGAUUGAUUCAUAAGUGUCAGGUGCUUUUGUUCUUUGUUUUUUUGUUUAAAUCUGUUUUAUUUUUUUAUACAAUGUUGCCUAAAAAAAAUUUAUCAGGAAGUGAAAAAAGGAAAAAAAGAAAACAAAUUGAUCAAUUAAUAGAAUCACAAAGAGGAGCUAUGAAUAAAUUUAUUAAAAAAGUUGGAUCCUCUAAUGAAAAUUUAGAAAUACCAAACCUAGAUAAUCUUGAACAAUCUAAUGAAAAUGUGAGUAAUCAAGAUCAUAUUGAUGAGGAUAUUGCUAAUAGUCCUAUAGCUGAUGAAGAUGAACAGAUUACUCCUUAUUUUGAUAUAUAUGACCCUAGAAAGUUGAGAUUCUUGAGGUUGAUUCGGAUUGUCUUUUAUCUGAAUUAAAGGUGUUACAAAUGACUUUGCCAGAUACAUUAAUGCCUGCAAUUGAGAUUCUUGAGUUUGUCAAAGUUGCUGAUUGUUACCCAAUGGCUUCUAUUGCUUAUCGACUAUUUUUGACGAUACCCGUGACUGUAGCAUCAACGGAGAGAAGUUUUUCAAAAUUGAAGUUAUUGAAAACUUAUUUGAGAUCUUCAAUGUCACAAGAAAGAUUGAAUGGUUUGGCGAUUUUGUGUAUUGAGAAGGAUAUGUUAGAAAGUAUUAAUCUUGAUACAAUUAUUGAUGAUUUUGCAUCAAGUAAAUCACGUAGAAAUUUUUUGUCAUGAUUAUUUUUGUAUUUUAAAACUUGUUGCAAAUUUUGUAAUAUUAUUUCAUGUUAUUUGA